rnacentral:other from 1 species
GCUACCCUGCGUAGUUCGUUUAGGCAGAAUUUUUAGAACCUACAAGUUUAAAGAGGGGCCAAUCUCUUGAUAUGGCGUGCAUGCUUACUUCUAUUUUAUUUUAACAAAAAUAUUCGUAAGAAGCCCAUGAGUAUUAAGGUAGGAACCCACCUGUUUGUGAGAGCAGGUUGUUAAAAAUUUUGAACAUCAACGGCUAAGGCGGGGGAGCU